AUGGAAGGAAGGGAGGGAGGGAGGGAAGGAAUGGAUGAAUUUGUGGAAAGAUGGAUGUGCUGUUUGCUCGGGACACUCCAUGCAAACAUAGAGAGAAAAGGGUUGAACCAGAGGGAGGAGACUCCAGUAGCUGCCAGAGAAGACGUGAAACUGAGCUGGAGACACAGGAAGCUGUGGGGGACGUGGAGCAAGGCAGCCGUCCCCACCUUCCGUGAAGAGAUCAUGCGGUGCCAGGGCCUUCAGCCCAGGAUGCCUCUCCUGCAACCAGCGCUGGGCUGUCACCUCACUUUCUGGGGGCAUGGAACACACGCAGGCAGCCUCUCGCCACACUGGAGCUGGGUGCUUGAGCACCGCGGAGCCCCCAACGAUGCCAGCAAGCAGAGCUGUGGGGACCCCUUCCCUGGCCCCUUCUGUGGCUCCAGGCCAGGCGGAAUGCUCAGAGGAUGUGAACUAGCACCUGACUCGGAGGAAGGAAUGUUGGGGACACAGGUACGACAGGACUGCCGGGCAGCUGCCCCUCACUUCUCCUCCUCCCGGUCCAGUGCAAAACACAGGACAUCAUUCAAUAUCACUGGACCUUGCACGCUGCCUGCCAUAUCUGUCCUGCCCCCCCCCAGCCCCCCGGGUGUGCAGGGAACCAGAGCCACCUCCCUGGAAGAAGAGGGCUCCACCCGAGCUGUGAAGGAGGGACACUGUCCCACCUACCUGUGAGCUCUGCAAGGCAGCCACCUGCAGGUAUCAUUCCUGUGGGCACCAGGAGUUGAGGGAACUUCUGUAGGUCCAGAGCAAAGCAGAAUGUAGCAGGAAGAAGGUGGAACAGACAGUCUUUCCCACAGAGGCUUCCUGGCUCUUGGUGAUUUGGGGUCACUAGAAGCCCUUUGGAGACUGCAGGAGCAGAGGCCAGAGAGAGGCUGGCCUGGGCGGGCGGCUUCCUGCCAGCCGUGAGUUGGACAAAGCAUGAAGCCCACUGACCUUUGGCAGCAGCCUGGGUUAGAUCUCGGGGCCUGGAUCCUGGCUGUGGGAAGAGCGAUGGCUGAGCCCCGCCCCCGCAGUCACAUGCAUGGGCACCCCACACACCAGCCAAAUGGCAAGGGCCUCUGCUAAGAGGAGACGCAGGCAGCCACCCUAUCUGGGAGCUGCCUUGGCCAGGAGCCUUCAUAGGAGCAGCAAACCAUGUCUCAGACACUGGGUGGACCUUGUUUAAGUCUGGAAAGAAAAAUAAUUCUGAAAGGAACUGCAGCAGGCUGCCAGUGGCAGGGUGCGGGAACCACAGAGCCCAGCACAGCCCACAGCUCCCCACCCCCUGGGACCCAGGAAGCCCAGCAGCCUGGCCCCAGCUGCCCACACAGCUUCACAGAGUCUUCCAGCCCCCUACCGGCCCUGCAGCACUGUCCCCUGGGUGUCUGACUCCUCACAGCUACUGACAGUUGCCUGGGUGAACACAGCACUCAUUCUUGAACCUGCUGGUUGUGGGCUUCGGACCUUUCUCCCCACAGGCCUAGGGAUAAAGCAGGUUGGACCUGGCUAUCACCGCCCCAGAGGCCUUUGUGAAAGGGGACAGGGACAGCCAGCAGUGUGGGCAAGAACUGCCUGAAGAGGGAAUGAAAACAAUGGUUGAAGCCCAGAAAUCCCCUCCCACCUCCACCAUCUGACUUCGGGGCCAGAGGCAGCCAGAUAACUGUCUCCCAAGGCCUCCACCCCAGGCUGCCAGAACACAGCUGGGAGCCCAGCCAUCACCCUCAGGGCCUCACCAUUCUUCAAGAAAUAAUCCUAAUGGAUAAACAUUCUAUUCAAAUUGUGGUGCAUCUAGGCAAUGGAAUAUUAUUCAGAAAUAAAAAGAAAUGAACUACCAAAGCUAGGAGAAAACUUAAGUAUUGUUCAGUGAAAGAAGUUUGAAAUUUGAAGACUACAUACUGUCUGAUUCCAACUGUAGGAUAUCCUGGAAAAAGGCAAAGAUGUGGAGACAUUAGAAGUUCAGUGGUGAGCUGGGCAUGGUGACACAAUCCUAGCGCUCUGGGUGUCUGAGGCAAGAGGGUUGAAAGUUCAAGCCCAGCCUGGGAAACUUAAUGACUUAGAGAUAUCCUGUCUGGAAAUAGAAAAAAAAAUUUUAAAGGCUGGGGAUGUAGCUCAGUGUGAAGACACUGGAUUUAAUCUCUAGUACCAUAAAAAAAAGAUAAAACUCAGUGACUUUCAGGGAUUAAGGCUAGCAAAAUGAUUUGGUAUGACAUUGUAAUGAGGGUGGACACAUGACAUUAUGCAUUUGUCAAAACCAAUAGAAUGUAGAACGCAGAAUGAACCCCAGAGUAAACAAUGGACUGCAGUUAAUAUAUGAAAAUUGGUUCUGUGGGAAGGAAUGUACCACACUAAUGCAAGAUAUUAAUAAUGGAAGAAACUGUGCUUGUAUGAUCGGGGGAAGGGAAUAUGGGAACUCUAUACUUUCUGCUUAAUUUUUCUGUAAACCUAAAAGUGCUCUAAAAAGUAAAGUCUAAUAAUUAGUCAUCAUAAUAAUUAAAAAGUGGACACAGCACAUAUUUCAUUAUGUCUCUACUACUUUUGGUGUAUUCAGAUGACAACUAGCUGCUUAGCUAAUUUCUUUUUUUGGGGGGGUUUCCGGGAAUCGAACUUGGGACCUUGGGCUUGCCAGGCAGGCACUUGUACCGCUAAGCUAUAUCCCUGGCCCUGUCUAGCUAAUUUCUAGAGAUAGUAAACUAUUCGUCUGCAAAAGGGCUUUUCUUAUGGAUGGUUUGUCCACCCAGAGCCUAUUCCCACUGCCCCAUUUAUCAGAGUGGCCCUAACUCUAGCCCCAGCCACCCCCAAGGCCAGGGAGAGAUGCCUUGGAAAGCCCCUCCAUCCACA
rnacentral:lncRNA from 1 species